CUUCGGGGCAAAGUGACAGGUGGUGCAUGGUUGUCGUCAGCUCGUGUCGUGAGAUGUUGGGUUAAGUCCCGCAACGAGCGCAACCCUUAUUGUUAGUUGCCAUCAUUUAGUUGGGCACUCUAGCGAGACUGCCGGUGACAAACCGGAGGAAGGUGGGGAUGACGUCAAAUCAUCAUGCCCCUUAUGACCUGGGCUACACACGUGCUACAAUGGGAAGUACAACGAGUCGCGAAGUCGCGAGGCUAAGCUAAUCUCUUAAAGCUUCUCUCAGUUCGGAUUGUAGGCUGCAACUCGCCUACAUGAAGCCGGAAUCGCUAGUAAUCGCGGAUCAGCACGCCGCGGUGAAUACGUUCCCGGGCCUUGUACACACCGCCCGUCACACCACGAGAGUUUGUAACAC
rnacentral:rRNA from 1 species